rnacentral:rRNA from 1 species
UACAGAGGUCUCAAGCGUUGUUCGGAUUCAUUGGGCGUAAAGGGUGUGUAGGUGGCGCCGUAAGUCGGGUGUGAAAUUUCGGAGCUUAACUCCGAAACUGCAUUCGAUACUGCGGUGCUUGAGGACUGGAGAGGAGACUGGAAUUCAUGGUGUAGCGGUGAAAUGCGUAGAUAUUAGGAAGAACACCAGUGGCGAAGGCGGCUCACUGGCCCGGUACUGACGCUGAGGCGCGAAAGCGUGGGGAGCAAACAGG